rnacentral:rRNA from 1 species
GAUGAACGCUAGCGGCAGGCCUAAUACAUGCAAGUCGAACGGUGUCUUCGGACAUAGUGGCGCACGGGUGCGUAACACGUAUGCAACCUACCUUACAUUGGGGGAUAGCCUUUCGAAAGGGAGAUUAAUACCGCAUAAGACAGUAGCUGGGCAUCCAGCAGCUGUUAAAGAUUUAUCGAUGUAAGCUGGGCAUGCGUCCAAUUAGCUAGUUGGUGAGGUAACGGCUCAGCAAGGCAAUGAUUGGUAGGGGAACUGAGAGGUCAAUCCCCCACACUGGCAAUGGACUACGGGCCAGACUCCUACGGGCGGCAGCAGUAGGGAAUAUUGGGCAAUGGACGCAAGUCUGACCCAGCCAUGCCGCGUGCAGGAUGAAGGCGUUAUGCGUUGUAAACUGCUUUUAUACAGGAAGAAACGACUCUUGCGAGAGGCAUUGACGGUACUGUAUGAAUAAGCACCGGCUAACUCCGUGCCAGCCGCCGCGGUAAAAC